rnacentral:rRNA from 1 species
GGGCCCGCACAAGCGGUGGAGCAUGUGGUUUAAUUCGAUGAUACGCGAGGAACCUUACCAGGGCUUAAAUGUAGUCUGACAGGGGUGGAAACACCCCUCCUUCGGGCAGAUUACAAGGUGCUGCAUGGUUGUCGUCAGCUCGUGCCGUGAGGUGUCAGGUUAAGUCCUUUAACGAGCGCAACCCUUGUACUUAGUUGACUUCGGUGACUCUAAGUAGACUGCCCACUAGGAUAGUGGGAGAAAGGUAAGGAUGACGUCAAGUCCUCAUGGCCCUUAUGAACUGGGCUACACACGUGUUACAAUGGUAAGAACAAUGAGAAGCGAUCUUGUAAAAGUGAGCA